CCUCGUGAGCCCUAGCUCGUUUAAAAUACAUUAGCAUCUCAAUUUCGAAACUUGGAUUGACUCAGCGUAGUAGACUAUUCGCUGAGGACACCUUUCAUUAGGUGGCCAUGUUAGAUAACGACCGAUGCUCAUAGCACUCUAUCUAGUCAUUCUUUUUAAGAUUAGACCUCAGAUCAGGCAGGAUUACCCGCUGAACUUAA
rnacentral:misc_RNA from 1 species